AACAAUGGCAGUUAUUAGCAGCGUUUUUCUCUGCUCACAGGAUCUGUGUGUUCUUCACUCUCAGUGUCAGCUGUCACAUGAAAUGAUGGGGACUGGCAGUUCAGAAUUUUAAAAGUUCAGCUCCUUUCAAAUUCACUAAAUGAAUAAGAGCAGCCUAAUUUAGGCUGAAGAAAAAGCAACAAAAAUCCCCUCUGUUGAAUUAACUGCAGUUAAAAGACCUAAGACCACCUCCUAGGAGAAUAAAGGUAGCUCAUUACGCAAGGUGAGCCCAGAACAGUGCCUCUCCUGGUCAGAGCCGCAGCGACCUUCUGCCUCUCUGUGUGAAGCUUUGUCAGCAUGCCAACUUCAAAAGCAAAAGUAACUCCUGUGAUUCCCAAGUCUCUGCUCUGCCAAGAGACUGGGGUUACUGGCAUGUCUGGCCACGGUCACCUGUGAAACACAUUUUUCAAGGACAAGAUUCAGGAAGAAGUUAUCUGGGUGUCCAGAGGAGAGGGUGCUUGUCUAACACAGAUGAGGAUGUUGUGGCAGAAGAAGAUGAAAGCAGGAUUGGAAGAGAUAAACUUCACGUCAGCCCCAGCUGAAAUCAAAGAGGAGUUUGGGAAAUGAGCAAGAGUGCUGCUUUCUCAGUGAGACUGUUAUCAGCACAACAGAGAUGAAGACAGACACUAAGCACUCUCAACACCUACCAAACCAGAGGUCCAGAGGCUCCUAAGAACUCAUCACUGAAGUAGACUUAAAACACACCC